UACGUAGGGGGCAAGCGUUGUCCGGAAUCAUUGGGCGUAAAGAGCGUGUAGGCGGCUCGGUAAGUCCGCUGUGAAAGUCCAGGGCUCAACCCUGGAAUGCCGGUGGAAACUGUCGAGCUAGAGUCCGGAAGAGGCGAGUGGAAUCCUGGUGUAGCGGUGAAAUGCGCAGAUAUCAAGGAGGAACACCAAUGGCGAAGGCAGCUCGCUGGGACGGUACUGACGCUGAGACGCGAAAGCGUGGGGAGCAAACAGG
rnacentral:rRNA from 1 species